GGAAGACAUGAUUACACACAUUCACGGGAGGCAAUAACCUUUGCCUACAAAAUAAAGCUUCCUCCUCAUUUGUAAUAGAUAGAAAAUGACUCAAUGAAAACAUAUUUCUAUGCUUUCUCUAUAUCUCAAUUCUCUCUACAAUUUCCUCUAGAUUUAUAACACGUUAUCAGCACGAAUAUCUCUAAAAUACCAGCUGAGAUAUUCAACCAAAAACUCCAACCCGAGGUUCCAAAGCUCAAUUAAUCAUCAUAUGGAUCAUCCCAUCUCCGAUGACCCCAAAUCUCCACUUCUCCCUCUCCACCACAAUCAUCCAAUCCAACGGUCAAAAAGCUUCCUGUCAGAUGGCCUUGUGGCUAGCUGGAACAUGCUAGAAGUGCUUGUUUGGGUCUUUGCUUGGUGGCUCGCAGAGCUUGUGCCUAUGCCCAUCACCUCCAUGGUUCAAAAGGUGAUCAGCACCUGGGUCAGCCUUUGCCAAUAAGGUGGUCAUGGCUUCCAUAAACAUGAGACAGGAUUUGCGCAUGCCCUCAAGGAAUUGGAAUUGUCCCUGUAUCUUAUCGUAACAAGUACUGAUUGGAAAAAGGGGAUGUGAAGCAGAGCAUGGUGGCUUUACUUGGACUUUGCUCGCAAUAUGAAAAAAACUUUGAUCAGAAAAACAACACCAAAAGGGGAUAAGUUCUCUGCCUCUCACUUUAUCUCUUCCAUUAAUUAUAUUAUUAUAAUAUUUGCACAAUUUAAUACUUAACUAACAUUCAAAGCUAGUGUAGAUUGCAGGUGGAAAGAAGAAAAGCCAACGUGAUAUGUCUAGCUUUCCACUAACAUAUUGAUCAGGACCAGAAGCUCCUUGAUCCUCAUCAUGCAACUGCAUCAGGACUUGAAGAUCCUUGAUGAUGAUAUUGAUAUGAGAGCUGGCAGUCUCUCGAUACUAUAUUUGUAAACAAGAGAUCGGACCAGAAGAUCCUUGAUCCUUGACAUGUAAAUAAGGAUCUGGAGUUCCUUGAUAAUGUAAUAGUACCGUAUUGGUUAAUAAUACAGUACACAUGAAUAAUAACUGUAUUGGCAAAUGUACUGUACACAUGAAUAGAUAC